rnacentral:tRNA from 1 species
GCCGGAGUGGUGAAAUUGGUAGACGCGCUGGACUCAAAAUCCAGUGGACCUUGCGUCCGUGUCGGUUCGAUUCCGACCUCCGGCACCA